UACUACGAUUUUAGGUACACAUGAGAUGCUCUAGGUGAGUAGAGAGUUGUCAGGAGGACUGCCUGUAGGAGACUAGUUAGGAAGGCAUCAAAACAGCACUGGAAAGAGACUACAGCAGUGUUUCUAGCUGGGGGCAUCAGAGUUAUCCACGGUUGGGGGGGCAGGGGUCUAGACUCUGGGCACAUUUAAUGUUGAUGUUACUUUUUGUGAGAAUUAAGUUCAAAUAUAAAUGCACAUCCCUUGGCAUAGACCAUGGCCGUGAGUGAAGGAUGCCUGGCAAUCAUUAUCCUAACCUAUUAUGACCUUUACCAGGGUGCUGAUAUGGGAACAUCAGUGAAAUGGUUGCCUAUCCCAUCGUUUGUUCAUGUCUGCCUCUCUCACCCAAUUUUCAACCUUGUUCCUUUUUGAUGGGAAUUUUCCUGAUUUUAAAACAGAAGACCCUGAGGACUAGGCAAAUCAGGACAGUUGGUGCCUCAUUCAGGGAGGGGCUGGUACCUGAGGAAUCAUUCUUUCUCUGUGGCCUCUUGCAGUGACUAUCACAUGGUGGCUCUCAACACUUUACCUGCCUGAUAAAAUAAACCAAAGUUUUGCCUUAAAAUUAAAUAAAUAUGAUAGUUCAUAAUGAUAAAAUGUGACCAGUUUAGUUUAAAAGUCAGUCUUUAGUAUACGUGUCUUGGAAAUAUGAGAAAAGAGCCUCUUGGGUAGUUUUCUUCGUUCUUCUGUUUAAUCUAGGUUUAAAUUCAGGGGAAGCACGAUUCCAACCAUUCCUCCCAUGAGAAGUGUUUCCAAGGGCAAGUGCUCAACAGACACAGCUGGCGCUGUCUCUGUGUUCCAUGUUUAGAAGGGAGACAAGCUCACCUUUCCCUUUGCUCAGCCAUGGACCACUUGUGUCCUGGUAUUUUAAUGAGUACUGAAAUUUAGAAGAGAAAAUAGUGUUCACGCAUUAUUUUAUUUCUCUAUUUCUUUGAGUCCAAAUUUUCAUAAAGGUUCAUAUAAUUUCAAUAGGUUUAUCCUAAUUUAUAUAAAUAGGGUUAUAUUAAUGUAUAAAUCAAUGAGCCUAUUUGAGACAUGAUUAGAUGAAUGUUCUGCAAAAGUAUAAUUUCUCAAAAGUUAAAUAUGUGACUGUCACAUAAAUAUGGGAUGAAUGAACAUGUAUCAAAUGUUUAUUUAAAUCAUCCAUGAGCAAGCAAACAGGUGUCAGAAAUGGUUCAAAAAGCAUUUGAUUUGAUCAGUACCUUUUAUAAACCUCUGAGAAAGACACACUGAAAUACACGCUAUUGAUUUUUAUUUUGACUUUUGCAAUUUGUUGCUUUAUGAAAAGUAUUUGGGCUGGAGUUGUGCUGUCUCGAGCUGGGUAUUUCAAUUUUCAAGGUAAGGGAGCCUCUGAUAAUACCACACCUGGUUAGGUUCUGGUUAAUAGUUUGCCCCGAGGGCAAGCUUGUUAAGAAGAACAGAAUGCUCUGGUGCAUUUCAAAAUUGUUUUAUUCCCUGUCCAGCUGGAAGCCUGAAAAGAAACCACACAUUUGGUGUCAGGAGAAAAAUAAUACUGAUUGCUUGGGCUUUUGUUUUCAGUUACAGUAAAAUUACUUGAUUUCUUGAUUCAUUACUGGGCACAAAUAUACGUGUUAACAUGCAACUUCACAGAUUAUGGACCCUGAUUACUAGUAAAUAGUAAGUGAAACACAGAUGCAUUCACCUCAAAGCCAAAUAACCUUUGAGCGGGCCUGUUAAACAAUGCUCCAGUAUAACACUGAAAGGAAAGAGUGCUCUUCCUUUGCUGUAUUUUCUGUUUUAGGUAAUUCUUCUUUACACUUAGGCCAGAAUCAGCAUAGACUCUGAGGUAGACAUUUUUUUCUUUCAUUAAAAACAAUCAAGAUGAUGAUAAUGUCGGGGAUCAAAAUUGUCCACCUCAAAAUGUGUCUAACUGGCUUAAUUUUUAAGCUAAAGACUCUGAAAGAAUGUUUAACAAUUCCCUUAAGUGCCUAAAAGAAUUUAAGUUAGAAGACCUGUUCGCAGGACAAGCCAUCACUAUAGAUAAUUCUCAGUAUCCAUAGACCGUGAGGGUCCUUGCUAAACCCAUCCUUAUCAAAGUUUUAUCUACUGAGUGCUUGCUUUUCCAUUUCCAAGUGAAUUGUCUUCCUCCCCUUUGAAGCCCCAAAACACUAUCCCCAAUUUCUUCCUUUGUCUUUAGCUGAAGAUGAUAUUUAAGUUGACAGCUUCAGCCAUUCUGCUUGAGCCACUCAAUUUUCCUGGGUUUCUUCCGUGCAUACACAUUAUAAAGUUUUGAGUUUCUCCUGUCAUUCUGUCUCAUGUCACUUUAAAUCUCAGACCAGCCAGAAGGACCUAGAGGGUAGAGGAAUUGUCUUAUUCCCCUACAAUAACAGUGAGCAUUUAUACAGCAUUUACAAUGGGCCAGAUACUCUUCCAGAUACUUUACAAAUAUUUCACUUAAUCCUUCCAGUAAUGCUACAAAGUGAAUAAUGUUAUUACUCACAUAUGAUAGAAGAGGAACAUGAAGCUUAUUUAUAAUUGUGAUACAAGAUCACAAAAUGGGUGAGGAAUACAAACAGGAUUAAAAUAUACACAAACAAAAUUGAGACUUCAAGAGUUUAUAGGCUAUCAAAGCAUUGAUACCCAGUUCUUGAUGCAGUAAAAGUUCACCUUCAGAUGAUUCAUUUAAAGAAGUGUUUUUCAAAGUGUAAUUAGCAAGCCCUUUGAGUGAUUCAGAUGUUCCCUAAAGUUUGAGAACCUUAAAUCUAAGGUGAUUUAGAUGUACAUUCUUACACUGUGCUACCACAGGAUAAAAAUGUUCCUUUAAAACAAAAACAUUGUUUACAUUCUUGUAGAUCAUAAAAAUUGGUAGAUGGAUGGGCUGUUUUGAAGAUUAAAUAUAAUGCAUGUAAGUUUAUUUAGAAUGCUGAGCAUACUUGCUAGCAUGUAGAAAUGCUUAAUAAAUAAAAUCUAUUAUUAUUAUUAUUACACUAAGAAAAAACGAUAAUCUGUCUAUUUCAGGCAAUUAAGUCACAUUUGUACAGUUCAAGAAGUGGAAUUCCAGAUAUUACCUCCAAUAAGUGUGUGCAUUGCUGUUAUCCUUAACAGUGACACAUCUCUUCACCUUCCCAUUCAGGGUUCUUUUGCUUUUAGCAAAACCUAGGAGGUAAAUAAAUUAAUUGCCCCAUUUACUCUUUAAGAAAUACUUAAAUCUGUGUUCCUUUGCCAAAGGUGAUUUGCCAUUGAAAGUGUCAUUGCGCUGGGAAAGAUAUUUUGUAGCUGUAGGAAACUUUAAGUGGUCUCAUAGGACUUCUAAAUAAAAAUGACAUGAGGCCAGGAGCAGAAAGAAGUACACUCAACACUGAUGUAAGCAAACAUUUGUAGUCAAAUUGUCAGAAAGUACCAUCUACACGCCUCAUGGAUGAGGACUCUCUACUAAGGAGCUUACAGAGCUGGCUGGAAGGACCUGGCAGAAGUGCGGGGCCAGAUGUCGCUUUCGCAAAGGUAGGAAAUCUUGCCCUUCUCUCCUGGAGUUCUUCCUCCCAGUCGCUG
rnacentral:lncRNA from 1 species